rnacentral:rRNA from 1 species
AACGAACGCUGGCGGCAGGCUUAACACAUGCAAGUCGAACGGGUGCAGCGAUGCAUCAGUGGCAGACGGGUGAGUAACACGUGGGAACCUUCCUCGGGGUACGGAACAACUCAGGGAAACUUGAGCUAAUACCGUAUACGUCCGUGAGGAGAAAGAUUUAUCGCCCUGAGACGGGCCCGCGGCGGAUUAGCUAGUUGGUGGGGUAACGGCCUACCAAGGCGACGAUCCGUAGCUGAUCUUAGAGGAUGAUCAGCCACACUGGGACUGAGACACGGCCCAGACUCCUACGGGAGGCAGCAGUGGGGAAUCUUGGACAAUGGGCGCAAGCCUGAUCCAGCCAUGCCGCGUGAGUGAAGAAGGUCUUCGGAUUGUAAAGCUCUUUUGCCAGGGACGAUAAUGACGGUACCUGGAGAAUAAGCCCCGGCAAACUUCGUGCCAGCAGCCGCCGUAAAAC